AAAUUUUUUUCAGUGAAAGAAGAAAUUAAUUUAUAACCCAAAUUAUAGAAUUUCUAAACAGCAAUCAAACAUUAAUUAUUAUAACUUAUGGGAUGUGAUUAGAGCAGUUAUUGGAAGAAAUUUUAUAACCUUAAGCACUUACAUCAAUAACAGUAAAAAACGGAAAGAAUGACAAUAAAUGAAUUGGAUUUGCUACUCAAAAGCUAGAAAAUGAACAAACAAGUUAACCAAAGGAAACCACAAGGAGGGUAAUGGUGAAGACAAAAGCAAUAAUUAAUGAUACAGAAAACUGAAAACAAGAGAUGUAAUGAUUGGGUCUUUGAAAAAAAGUAACCAAGUGUGCAAAACCUCCAGCUAACCUAAUCAAGAGGACAAGGGAGAAAGUCCACGUUGAGUCUGAGCCCGUGACUAGGGAGAGUGGAUAACAUACUUACGCACACAGAAAGGGGUCUUGCCCGACCAGUGAUGAUCCUGCUGGCAGAUGCGCACAGACAUGCCGAUCAGGCGGAAGCCGGCAUUGCACUGGUACACCACGCUGCCCCGGUAGCUGUAGUUCUCCCCGUUGAUAUGUCCAUUGACGAUGGGCUCAGGGGUCCCACAGUGUCCGGCUUUGGUGGGAGAUGAGGAAAGAGUGUAAAUUGAAGAGGAGCUUAUAUAAGAUGAGUAGGGAUUUGGUCAGGGUUGGGGAGACAUGGAUGGUGAGGAAGAGGACCAAGGACCCAGCCACCCAUUAUUUUCUCCACCUCCUUCUGAGAGUAGCUAUCCAGGAAUAGCUUUAGGAAUCCUAGCAUGACAGAAAUGGCAUCCCCAGAUCCCAAGGUUGAAUCCCAGAAGGCCAUCCAUCUCUGACCUGUAGUUUCUGUAUCUGUCUGUGGGUUAGAAAUGAUCACUGUUCCCUGCCUUUGGGGUCGUCUCCCUCUUUUUUUCAUCAGGUAGCAUUGACUGAACAUCUACUGAAUGGAGGGCACCUGGUCUACAUUAAGGCGGUCAAAGCCCAGCUGAGUUGAGUUGGAAAUGACUAUGCACAAACAGGUGAUUUGGCUAAACCCACCUUUCCUUCUCCUUGAGUGGCAAGAGACACAGACAACUUAACCUAGGCCCUAAUAAAAUUACAGUAAAGACUGGUAAAGCAGAAGAGCCUAUAACAAAAAGCAAAAUGGGAGGGUCAGCAGCAGAGGAGACUUAAAAAAAAACUUCGGAAGAUGGAUUGUAGAUAGAAGUGUGCUGAGAAUGAAGUGGAGCUGAGAAGCUGCAGAAAUACUUGGAUCCCCACUGAUAUUCUGCAUGAGGAGUCAGGCAGUCUGGAGACAGCAGGUGAAGGAGGUAGAUGGCGGCUGCUUCUCACGGCUUGUGGUCUGGCUCUUCCCUUGAGGAUAACUAAGACGACAGAGGAUAACUUCCUAGUCUGAGACCUGAUCUCCAUGCCAAAACACGGUCCACAAACUCUGAGGUAGGAGGAACACUUCCUAUGGGUAGGAGAGGUGGGGACAGAAUUGCCAAGCAUUGGAAGCUGGUGGUGGAAUGCGAUCUCUCAGGGAGAGACUACGUAGGGAAAGAAUGGCCUGGGGAAGGAGAGAGAAGGCUAAUUAGAAGGCAUAGGAUUUCCAAUGAGAUAUAUUUGUUGGUGGAAAGUCAUGGUUUGGAAGAAUGCCAGGCCUUUCCUGGUCCUGGGUUAUGUGGAGAAUGGGGGAUUAACACCUGUGCUUAAAAGG